GACGAACGCUGGCGGCGUGCCUAAUACAUGCAAGUCGAACGAACUCUGGUAUUGAUUGGUGCUUGCAUCAUGAUUUACAUUUGAGUGAGUGGCGAACUGGUGAGUAACACGUGGGAAACCUGCCCAGAAGCGGGGGAUAACACCUGGAAACAGAUGCUAAUACCGCAUAACAACUUGGACCGCAUGGUCCGAGUUUGAAAGAUGGCUUCGGCUAUCACUUUUGGAUGGUCCCGCGGCGUAUUAGCUAGAUGGUGGGGUAACGGCUCACCAUGGCAAUGAUACGUAGCCGACCUGAGAGGGUAAUCGGCCACAUUGGGACUGAGACACGGCCCAAACUCCUACGGGAGGCAGCAGUAGGGAAUCUUCCACAAUGGACGAAAGUCUGAUGGAGCAACGCCGCGUGAGUGAAGAAGGGUUUCGGCUCGUAAAACUCUGUUGUUAAAGAAGAACAUAUCUGAGAGUAACUGUUCAGGUAUUGACGGUAUUUAACCAGAAAGCCACGGCUAACUACGUGCCAGCAGCCGCGGUAAUACGUAGGUGGCAAGCGUUGUCCGGAUUUAUUGGGCGUAAAGCGAGCGCAGGCGGUUUUUUAAGUCUGAUGUGAAAGCCUUCGGCUCAACCGAAGAAGUGCAUCGGAAACUGGGAAACUUGAGUGCAGAAGAGGACAGUGGAACUCCUUGGUGUAGCGGUGAAAUGCGUAGAUUAUAUGGAAGAACACAAGUGGCGAAGGCGGCUGUCUGGUCUGUAACUGACGCUGAGGCUCGAAAGUAUGGGUAGCAAACAGGAUUAGAUACCCUGGUAGUCCAUACCGUAAACGAUGAAUGCUAAGUGUUGGAGGGUUUCCGCCCUUCAGUGCUGCAGCUAACGCAUUAAGCAUUCCGCCUGGGGAGUACGGCCGCAAGGCUGAAACUCAAAGGAAUUGACGGGGGCCCGCACAAGCGGUGGAGCAUGUGGUUUAAUUCGAAGCUACGCGAAGAACCUUACCAGGUCUUGACAUACUAUGCAAAUCUAAGAGAUUAGACGUUCCCUUCGGGGACAUGGAUACAGGUGGUGCAUGGUUGUCGUCAGCUCGUGUCGUGAGAUGUUGGGUUAAGUCCCGCAACGAGCGCAACCCUUAUUAUCAGUUGCCAGCAUUAAGUUGGGCACUCUGGUGAGACUGCCGGUGACAAACCGGAGGAAGGUGGGGAUGACGUCAAAUCAUCAUGCCCCUUAUGACCUGGGCUACACACGUGCUACAAUGGAUGGUACAACGAGUUGCGAACUCGCGAGAGUAAGCUAAUCUCUUAAAGCCAUUCUCAGUUCGGAUUGUAGGCUGCAACUCGCCUACAUGAAGUCGGAAUCGCUAGUAAUCGCGGAUCAGCAUGCCGCGGUGAAUACGUUCCCGGGCCUUGUACACACCGCCCGUCACACCAUGAGAGUUUGUAACACCCAAAGUCGGUGGGGUAACCUUUUAGGAACCAGCCGCCUAAGGUGGGACAGAUGAUUAGGGUG
rnacentral:rRNA from 1 species